UGCACAGGUGCUGCAUGGCUGUCGUCAGCUCGUGUCGUGAGAUGUUGGGUUAAGUCCCGCAACGAGCGCAACCCUUAUCCCUAGUUGCCAUCAGGUAAGCUGGGAACUCUGGGGAGACUGCCGGUGAUAACCGGAGGAAGGCGGGGAUGACGUCAAGUCCUCAUGGCCCUUACAUCCCGGGCUACACACGUGCUACAAUGGCAGGUACAGAGGGCUGCGAAGCCGCGAGGUGGAGCGAAUCCCAGAAAACCUGUCUCAGUCCGGAUUGAAGUCUGCAACUCGACUUCAUGAAGGCGGAAUCGCUAGUAACCGCGAAUCAGCAGGUCGCGGUGAAUACGUUCCCGGGCCUU
rnacentral:rRNA from 1 species